UACGUAGGGGGCAAGCGUUGUCCGGAUUUAUUGGGCGUAAAGAGCGUGUAGGCGGCCUGACAAGUCUGCUGUGAAAACUCGAGGCUCAACCUCGAGAUGUCGGCGGAAACUGUCUGGCUAGAGUCCGGAAGAGGGGAGUGGAAUUCCUGGUGUAGCGGUGAAAUGCACAGAUAUCAGGAAGAACACCUAUGGCGAAGGCAGCUCUCUGGGACGGUACUGACGCUGAGACGCGAAAGCGUGGGGAGCGAACAGG
rnacentral:rRNA from 1 species